rnacentral:rRNA from 1 species
UCCGUAGGUGACAAGCGUUGUCCGGAUUUACUGGGCGUAAAGCGCGCGCAGGCGGUCGAUCAAGUCGCGUGUGAAAGCCCCCGGCUCAACUGGGGAGGGUCAUUCGAUACUGAUCGACUCGAAGGCAGGAGAGGGUAGUGGAAUUCCCGGUGUAGUGGUGAAAUGCGUAGAUAUCGGGAGGAACACCAGUGGCGAAGGCGACUACCUGGCCUGUUCUUGACGCUGAGGCGCGAAAGCUAGGGGAGCAAACGGG